rnacentral:rRNA from 1 species
GGGGGGGGUGCUUACCUGCAGUCGAACGCUGAAGCACCAGCUUGCUGGUGUGGAUGAGUGGCGAACGGGUGAGUAAUACGUGAGUAACCUGCCCUUGACUCUGGGAUAAGCCCGGGAAACUGGGUCUAAUACUGGAUGCUACAUGUCACCGCAUGGUGGUGUGUGGAAAGGGUUUACUGGUCUUGGAUGGGCUCACGGCCUAUCAGCUUGUUGGUGAGGUAAUGGCUCACCAAGGCGACGACGGGUAGCCGGCCUGAGAGGGUGACCGGCCACACUGGGACUGAGACACGGCCCAGACUCCUACGGGAGGCAGCAGUGGGGAAUAUUGCACAAUGGGCGAAAGCCUGAUGCAGCGACGCCGCGUGAGGGAUGACGGCCUUCGGGUUGUAAACCUCUUUCAGCAGGGAAGAAGCCACAAGUGACGGUACCUGCAGAAGAAGCGCCGGCUAACUACGUGCCAGCAGCCGCGGUAAUACGUAGGGCGCAAGCGUUGUCCGGAAUUAUUGGGCGUAAAGAGCUCGUAGGCGGUUUGUCGCGUCUGCUGUGAAAGCCCGGGGCUUAACCCCGGGUGUGCAGUGGGUACGGGCAGACUAGAGUGCAGUAGGGGAGACUGGAAUUCCUGGUGUAGCGGUGGAAUGCGCAGAUAUCAGGAGGAACACCGAUGGCGAAGGCAGGUCUCUGGGCUGUUACUGACGCUGAGGAGCGAAAGCAUGGGGAGCGAACAGGAUUAGAUACCCUGGUAGUCCAUGCCGUAAACGUUGGGCACUAGGUGUGGGGGACAUUCCACGUUUUCCGCGCCGUAGCUAACGCAUUAAGUGCCCCGCCUGGGGAGUACGGCCGCAAGGCUAAAACUCAAAGGAAUUGACGGGGGCCCGCACAAGCGGCGGAGCAUGCGGAUUAAUUCGAUGCAACGCGAAGAACCUUACCAGGCUUGACAUAUACCGGAUCGUUCAA